rnacentral:rRNA from 1 species
ACGGAAGGCAGCAGUGGGGAAUAUUGCACAAUGGGCGAAAGCCUGAUGCAGCGACGCCGCGUGAGUGAAGAAGUAUCUCGGUAUGUAAAGCUCUAUCAGCAGGGAAGAAAAUGACGGUACCUGACUAAGAAGCCCCGGCUAACUACGUGCCAGCAGCCGCGGUAAUACGUAGGGGGCAAGCGUUAUCCGGAUUUACUGGGUGUAAAGGGAGCGUAGACGGUUUGGCAAGUCUGAAGUGAAAUGCGGGGGCUCAACUCCUGAACUGCUUUGGAAACUGUCGAACUAGAGUGCAGGAGAGGUAAGUGGAAUUCCUAGUGUAGCGGUGAAAUGCGUAGAUAUUGGGAGGAACACCAGUGGCGAAGGCGGCUUACUGGACUGUAACUGACGUUGAGGCUCGAAAGCGUGGGGAGCAAACAGGAUUAGAUACCCUGGUA